rnacentral:sRNA from 1 species
CCUCAGCCUGCUCUCACGCAGCCCACCAUCUUCCCCCUCCGCUUACGAUUCUAGCCUAACAUUUAGAUAGAGGCUGCUUUGGUUGGGAAGAUAUAGUAUACGAGGGGUUAGUUAUCCGAUUUGUCGUCGCGUAUUGAUGUCAUCACUGAAAACAGCAUCCCUCAGCUAAAGGUCUCACUGAAUUUCCAACAUCGCCUUAUCGGCUAGCCCGACGUACGUGAAAUUUAAGUGGCAAAGCUCCUGUUCCAAGAUUGUGGCUAUAGGGAUAUCCCACUGAUUCGUCAGGAGAUCUAAUCAACACGCCUUCAAGUAGUUUACAUCCGAACACCGGGGCUGUGAAGCUUCAGGUUUGAAAUUUGAAAUUAACAUAGCAAAACGCAGAGCAAUUUUUUUUUUUUUUUUUUUUUAAAAAAAAACACAAAUUCAGGAAGCUUCCGUAUGUAUGGAACUGGAGACAAGGCUGCGCUAUAGGACGACCCUGACAUCGGAUCUUUUGUGGUGGUGAGCUCGCUGACUUUUAGUCAAGCAAUCGAAAACUCGGCUGGAGCGGUUACAAGGUUCCUAUUGUGAUGGCUUGGAUAGCUAUUAGGUACGACCCCAUGGCUACAUCAUCAUUUAAACUGCUUUUGAAAUUGUUCCAUCCUUUAUACCUUUAUACCUGCCUUCCCCUCCCAGCUCCUCUUCACAAUAAUCUACAUCCCAGAUAGCACCGUUGCCUCGAGGAAGUUUAAGGACGCGGGGGUAUGGUGGUUAAUAGUCGGUUGCCUAAAAAAACAGCAGCAGAAGCAGGGGAAAACGAACCACUUAGCGCUCCAACACGACAAGUUACCUCGAUCAGGAGAGUUUUGAUCGAAGGCUACAUUCAAAAAGUAAGAAGACCAUAUCCGACAUAGCUUGCGCGGAACUCUGUAUGUACGAAGAAUGUUGCAUUACUACCAUGAUCAACCGCUGCCGGUUUUUAUCAGUAAAACCAUUUUUGCCGUCAGAGAGGGUCUAAUGCCGAUCUCGUAUGGAGAGUUGUGGACGCCAUAGACAGAUUGUGUAUUAAUCUACUAUAUUUGGCUGGUGGCGGAAAUAUUGCUCCAGACGGGAUACGGACGCGCGGAGAGAUUGGUGAAGUAAACAUCGUCAUCGGGAACAUAAGACACUCCUUAAACCUGGGCGAUAAAAAAGGGUUGCCAAAUGGAUAGGAACAACAUACCCCAAGGCGAGCAUAUAUAUUUUCGUAAAUUUAUUGAUCACCCAGUCGGUUGCACCCCACGUGGGCCAUAUAUUAAAAAUAAAAUAUAAAUAAAUAAAUAAAGGAAAGAAUUAGAAAGAAAGAAGGAAACUUUAUUACCCACCUGUAAUUGUUGUAUUUAUUUAUUUGAAUGAA